CUCAAAUCGCGACAAGAAUAGCACAGACUGCUCGUUAUGAAGCCUCAACACAAAUUGAUGUCACAUGAUAGAAAUAAUGACUUGUAACUGGGUACCAAGAUUAUGUGUAACACAAGGUAAAAACCCGGACACAACGGUUGGAAACUUGAAACUGAAAUUCAGAGCGCGCCACAAAUUGUUCAUAAUCUUCAAAAUCCGUUAAGUUAAAUGGCUAAAGUUCGGCGUAAGAGAGAAACGAGCCGUCUUAAGGGAUUGGAAGCAAAAGGUUGGAAACAUUGGGUAAAAGCCAUAGUCCCUCGAAAAGCCAGGCGCACUGAACCACGUGGAGACAGCCAAGUUGGUUUUAUGUGCACAAACAUAAGAUCUGCUAUUCCUGCCAGACAAUGUGGAAUUUAUGAGUGGCGAGCUAAAGGAAAGUCAGCCCGUCAACCCAAUUAUAUUGUUUAUGUUGGGAGCACAUGCCGGGGUAAACCAGGAGCACUAAGGCGAAGAAUUAUAGAAUAUUGCACGGAUGGAUCGCAUAAAAAAGAUCUCAUGAAUGAAGCUUUACGUAAAGGUUACGAGUUAUGGGUUCGUGUUAAGACAUCGCGAGGAACGGAUAAUGCUCAAGAGUUGGAGAACGAACUGUUAAAGAAGUACGACUACGCCUGGAACGUCAGAAACAACGGAAAAAUCCGACAUAUACUGCCAUCAGCGAAGAAAAGUUCGAGUUAAGUACAGUUUAUGAUGACGAUACCUUUCUGCUCAGCGUGAUGCGUGAUGUUAUAUGUUAGCGAUACAUUUCUGUCGGGCAAAGCUCAGGCUGGUUCCACAUCAGAUAAUUCAGCUUGUGUAUUGGUAUGUGAGUACAACGAGAAAGAUGUUUACCAUAUUUCACGAUACUUUACUUUAUUAGUAUGCUCUCUGUAUCGAUUCCAAAACCAUUGUCUCAGAAUCGUGAAAUGUAAACGAUGCUAUUUUAAUAAAGGUUUACGUAGUGCUUUA